CACGGAGGGUGCGAGCGUUGUCCGGAAUUAUUGGGCGUAAAGAGCUCGUAGGCGGUGUGUCGCGUCGGCCGUGAAAACUUGGGGCUUAACUCUGAGCUUGCGGUCGAUACGGGCAUCACUGGAGUUCGGCAGGGGAGACUGGAAUUCCUGGUGUAGCGGUGAAAUGCGCAGAUAUCAGGAGGAACACCGGUGGCGAAGGCGGGUCUCUGGGCCGAUACUGACGCUGAGGAGCGAAAGCGUGGGGAGCGAACAGG
rnacentral:rRNA from 1 species